rnacentral:rRNA from 1 species
UACCAGCUCUCCGAGUAGUGUGGAUGUUUAUUGGGCCUAAAGCAUCCGUAGCUUGCUAAGCAAGUCCCCUGUUAAAUCCACCGAUCUAAUCGUUGGAUUGCGGGGGAUACUGUUUGGCUAGGGGACGGGAGAGGCCGACGGUAUUUCCGGGGUAGGGGUGAAAUCCUAUAAUCCCGGGAAGACCACCAGUGGCGAAGGCUGUCGGCUAGAACGCGCCCGACGGUGAGGGAUGAAAGCUGGGGGAGCGAACCGGAUUAGAUACCCGGGUAGUCCCAGCUGUAAACGAUGCAGGCUAGGUGUUUGGGCGGCCAAGAGCCGCUCUAGUGCCGCAGGGAAGCUGUUAGGCCUGCCGCCUGGGGAGUACGGCCGCAAGGCUGAAACUUAAAGGAAUUGGCGGGGGAGCACCACAAGGCGUGAAGCUUGCGGUUC